rnacentral:rRNA from 11 species
AGAAUAACGUCGAGUCAUUAUGCUCUUUUGUUUGGAGAUAUUCAUCUGUUACAAGGAGAGCUAUAUAGCUACUUUCUAAUGAGUAAAUCAAAUGUUAUCAUCCUAAUUGAAAAUUGAAAUGUUUUUAUAAAGGAGGAAUUAUUAGGAAUCUUUGGUUAGUUACUUAAAGGUGGACAGGAGAUAAACUUUGCACAUACUGCCCGUCAAACAAAAAGAGGAGAUUAAGAUGAAAACAGAAGAAACCACAAAAUUGUGAAAUUGGGAUACUAAUUUGUGUUAAGUCGAAACAUGGUUGCUCAUCAGGA